GGGUAAGUUCCGACCUGCACGAAUGGCGUAACGAUCUGACGACUGUCUCAACAACUCGCCCGGCGAAUUUGUGGUUCCGGUGAAGACGCCGGAUGCCCGCCACAAGACGGAAAGACCCCGUGCACCUUUACUAUACCCUAUCAGUGAAUUAUGGGUUGAACUGCGCAGGAUAGGUGGGAGGCUUUGAUAUCGGCUUUUUGGAGUCGAUGGAGCCAAUGGUGAGAUACCACCCUGUUCAAUCUGUGAUUCUAACCUGCUUCCCUAAUCGGGAAGAGGGACACUGGUAGGCGGGUAGUUUGACUGGGGCGGUCGCCUCCUAAAUUGUAACGGAGGCGCUCGAAGCUGCGUUCAGGUGGUUUGGAAAUCCACCGACGAGUGCAAAGGCAUAAACGCGGUUAACUGCGAGACCUACAAGUCAAGCAGGUGGGAAACCAGGACUUAGUGA
rnacentral:rRNA from 1 species